GAACGCUGGCGGCAUGCCUUACACAUGCAAGUCGAACGGUCUUUUCUAUGGAAGCUUGCUUCCACUGAGAAGAUAGUGGCGAACGGGUGAGUAACACGUGGGUAACCUGCCCAUAAGAGGGGGAUAACAUCCGGAAACGGGUGCUAAUACCGCAUAGUUUUCUUGAUCGCAUGAUUGAGAAAGGAAAGACGGCCUUUGCGCUGUCGCUUAUGGAUGGACCCGCGGCGUAUUAGUUAGUUGGUGAGGUAACGGCUCACCAAGACGAUGAUACGUAGCCGACCUGAGAGGGUGAUCGGCCACAUUGGGACUGAGACACGGCCCAAACUCCUACGGGAGGCAGCAGUAGGGAAUCUUCCGCAAUGGACGAAAGUCUGACGGAGCAACGCCGCGUGAGUGAAGAAGGUUUUCGGAUCGUAAAACUCUGUUGUCAGAGAAGAACAAGUUGGAGAGUAACUGCUCCAGCCUUGACGGUAUCUGACCAGAAAGCCACGGCUAACUACGUG
rnacentral:rRNA from 1 species